rnacentral:rRNA from 1 species
UACGAAGGGGACUAGCGUUGUUCGGAAUCACUGGGCGUAAAGCGCACGUAGGCGGAUAUGUCAGUCAGGGGUGAAAUCCCAGAGCUCAACUCUGGAACUGCCUUUGAUACUGGGUAUCUCGAGUCCGAGAGAGGUGAGUGGAAUUCCGAGUGUAGAGGUGAAAUUCGUAGAUAUUCGGAGGAACACCAGUGGCGAAGGCGGCUCACUGGCUCGGUACUGACGCUGAGGUGCGAAAGCGUGAGGAGCAAACAGG